rnacentral:rRNA from 1 species
GUGGGGAAUAUUGGACAAUGGGCGAAAGCCUGAUCCAGCCAUGCCGCGUGUGUGAAGAAGGUCUUCGGAUUGUAAAGCACUUUAAGUUGGGAGGAAGGGCAUUAACCUAAUACGUUAGUGUUUUGACGUUACCGACAGAAUAAGCACCGGCUAACUUCGUGCCAGCAGCCGCGGUAAUACGAAGGGUGCAAGCGUUAAUCGGAAUUACUGGGCGUAAAGCGCGCGUAGGUGGUUCGUUAAGUUGGAUGUGAAAGCCCCGGGCUCAACCUGGGAACUGCAUCCAAAACUGGUGAGCUAGAGUACGGUAGAGGGUGGUGGAAUUUCCUGUGUAGCGGUGAAAUGCGUAGAUAUAGGAAGGAACACCAGUGGCGAAGGCGACCACCUGGACUGAUACUGACACUGAGGUGCGAAAGCGUGGGGAGCAAACAGGAUUAGAUACCCUAGUAGUCC